CGUGGGGAAAGCGGCGAACGGGUGAGUAACACGUGGGUAACCCACCCUUGGUACCGGGAUAGCCCGAGGAAACUCGGAUUAAUACCGGAUGGCCCAACAGCUCUUCGGGGCGGUUGGAAAAGGUAGCUUCGGCCUCCGACCAAGGACGGGCCCGCGGCGGAUUAGCUUGUUGGUGAGGUAACGGCUCACCAAGGCUUCGAUCCGUAGCUGGUCUGAGAGGACGAUCAGCCACACUGGGACUGAGACACGGCCCAG
rnacentral:rRNA from 1 species